GAUGGCAAGAAUGCUAAAGAAAACAAAACCAUGAAAGAUGUCAAGACUUUGCUUAGCUACAAAGGCAGCUACAUGGGAUGGGCUGCAUUUACUCAAUCAGGAUCAUCUAAUAAAAUGGCCAAAGCCACAGGAGAAGUUGUUCUAGAGGUGUUGUCAAAGAUAAAUGAAUGGUGGAAAGACGGCAUGAAUGUUGAUUCUUUUGUGCCAGCACUCAACGAAAAGAUCGAAGAACUACUUAAGGACCAAAAACACCAUUGUUAUCACAU
rnacentral:misc_RNA from 1 species